AUUGAACGCUGGCGGCAUGCCUAACACAUGCAAGUCGAACGAGUGGCGGACGGGUGAGUAAUGUCUGGGAAACUGCCUGAUGGAGGGGGAUAACUACUGGAAACGGUAGCUAAUACCGCAUACCAUCAGAUGUGCCCAGAUGGGAUUAGCGAGUUGGUGGGGUAACGGGUCACCAAGGCCACGAUCCCUAGCUGGUCUGAGAGGACGACCAGCCACACUGGAAAUGAGACACGGUCCAGACUCCUACGGGAGUCAGCAGUGGGGAAUAUUGGACAAUGGGGGCAAGCCUGAUGCAGCCAUCCCGCGUGUAUGAAGAAGGCCUUCGGGUUGUAAAGUACUUUCAGCGGGGAGGCGUUAUCCGCAGAAGAAGCACCGGCUAACUCCGUGCCAGCAGCCGCGGUAAUAC
rnacentral:rRNA from 1 species